GGGAAUGGGUUUAGUGCCCUUGUAUUAGAGACCUGAGAGAGCUCCCUAGUUCCUGCUACCUAGUGAGGAUACACGAGAGAGUUGGGAUUCUGAGGCCUAGCUGUGAACACUGUGCCUGUGACUGCCUUGCCUUUGGGGAGACAGGAAGACCUCUGGGCUGCAUGUCAGGAACUGCUCUUCUUAAAAUCCAGAGGACUUCUGUAGCAUCGCCAGCGGCCCUCCUCAGACUUAGUGACACGUCCUGAUUGCUGAGACUGAUUUGUGUCCUUUUCUUAACAGAGCCAAGUGGGCAUCUGUGGAGCCCCACCUCUGGUCCUAGACCCAGAAUGGUUGGAUGCUAAAAAGGAAUACUCCGUGGACCUCUGCUGUGUUCCAGGCACUUGAAAUUUCCUGUUGGAUCCUAUGCAAAGAGAGACUGUUGAGAGUCCCUUGGGCUGCAAGAAGAUCAAACCAGUCCAUCCUAAAGGAAAUCAGUCCUGAAUAUUCAUUGGAAGGACUAAUGCUAAAGCUAAAGCUCCAGUACUUUGGCCACCUGAUGGGAAGAAUCAACUCACUGGAAAAGAUGGUGAUGCUGGGAAAGAUUGAAGGCGGGAGGAGAAGGGGACGACAGAGGAUGAGAUGGUUGGAUGGCAUCGCUGACUCAGUGGACAUGAGUUUGAGGUCUCUUGCUUUGCACAGUUCCAGAAGGCACCAUUCAUGAUGCAGUCUGAGCUCUGCCUGGGGCUGAUUUUACUGAGAUUAUUACCAUGACUAGUGCUGACUGCCCAGAGUUGGGUGAUGUGGAGACUGGAGCUCCAGAAGUGAGGCAUCUUUUUUUUGCCUAGUUUGAUCAUUGCCAUGUCCCCAUACCCAGAACGAUGCCUGACCUAUAUUAAACUGAAAUACAUGUUGAAAGAAAGAAUGAAAUCCUCCAAAGAGAACCAUUUUACUGGUG
ensembl:lncRNA